rnacentral:rRNA from 1 species
CCUACGGGAGGCAGCAGUGGGGAAUAUUGGGCAAUGGGCGCAAGCCUGACCCAGCAACGCCGCGUGAAGGAAGAAGGCUUUCGGGUUGUAAACUUCUUUUAAGAGGGAAGAGCAGAAGACGGUACCUCUUGAAUAAGCCACGGCUAACUACGUGCCAGCAGCCGCGGUAAUACGUAGGUGGCAAGCGUUGUCCGGAUUUACUGGGGGUAAAGGGCGUGCAGCCGGGAAGACAAGUCAGUUGGGAAAUCCCGCGGCUCAACCGCGGAACUGCAUUUGAAACUGUUUUUCUUGAGUACCGGAGAGGUCAUCGGAAUUCCUUGUGUAGCGGUGAAAUGCGUAGAUAUAAGGAAGAACACCAGUGGCGAAGGCGGAUGACUGGACGGCAACUGACGGUGAGGCGCGAAAGCGUGGGGAGCAAACAGGAUUAGAUACCCUGGUAGUC